rnacentral:rRNA from 1 species
AAUAGAUACCCUGGUAGUCCACGCCGUAAACGAUGAGUGCUAAGUGUUGGGGGGGUUUCCGCCCCUCAGUGCUGCAGCUAACGCAUUAAGCACUCCGCCUGGGGAGUACGGUCGCAAGACUGAAACUCAAAGGAAUUGACGGGGGCCCGCACAAGCGGUGGAGCAUGUGGUUUAAUUCGAAGCAACGCGAAGAACCUUACCAGGUCUUGACAUCCCGGUGACCACUAUGGAGACAUAGUUUCCCCUUCGGGGGCAACGGUGACAGGUGGUGCAUGGUUGUCGUCAGCUCGUGUCGUGAGAUGUUGGGUUAAGUCCCGCAACGAGCGCAACCCUUAUUCUUAGUUGCCAUCAUUCAGUUGGGCACUCUAAGGGGACUGCCGGUGAUAAACCGGAGGAAGGUGGGGAUGACGUCAAAUCAUCAUGCCCCUUAUGACCUGGGCUACACACGUGCUACAAUGGACGGUACAAACGGUUGCCAACCCGCGAGGGGGAGCUAAUCCGAUAAAACCGUUCUCAGUUCGGAUUGUAGGCUGCAACUCGCCUACA